UACGAAGGGGGCUAGCGUUGUUCGGAAUCACUGGGCGUAAAGGGCGCGUAGGCGGCUUUAUAAGUCGGGGGUGAAAGCCUGUGGCUCAACCACAGAAUUGCCUUCGAUACUGUAGAGCUUGAGACCGGAAGAGGUAAGUGGAACUGCGAGUGUAGAGGUGAGAUUCGUAGAUAUUCGCAAGAACACCAGUGGCGAAGGCGGCUUACUGGACGAUGACUGACGCUGAGACACGAAAGCGUGGGGAGCAAACAGG
rnacentral:rRNA from 1 species